rnacentral:rRNA from 1 species
UACGGAGGGGGCUAGCGUUGUUCGGAAUUACUGGGCGUAAAGCGCACGUAGGCGGCUUUGUAAGUUAGAGGUGAAAGCCCAGGGCUUAACCCUGGAAUUGCCUUUAAGACUGCAUCGCUUGAAUUGUGGAGAGGUGAGUGGAAUUCCGAGUGUAGAGGUGAAAUUCGUAGAUAUUCGGAAGAAACACCAGUGGCGAAGGCGACUCACUGGACACAUAUUGACGCUGAGGUGCGAAAGCGUGGGGAGCAAACAGG